rnacentral:misc_RNA from 1 species
CAGAAAUAAAACUUGGUGGGUUGUAGCUGGCCCCUCUCGAGGGAGCACUUGUGCACGCCCGCCAUUUUUGUUCUCUUUCCACCUGUGCACCCUUAUAUGUAGGACCGCUCUUCUGGGGGGCGCUUUUUGAGCGAGGGUUUGCCGUGAGGCUUUCCCGUCUCCUCCAGCUUGACGGCUCUAUGUAUUCUUUAUCUUACCACAAUGAAUGUCGUCGAACGUAUGUAACCACAUGGACGCGAGUCCUGUGAUAACAAUAUAUA